rnacentral:misc_RNA from 1 species
UUUUGGGGUUGUAAAUUUAUUAAUCUAUAUAUGUGUAAAUGUGUGGAUGAAUGACUUGUUGGAUGAGGGAGUUGUACUCCCAUUUGAUUUUAUAUUGAAUUGUGGAUGAUUGUAAGGCUGAGAUGAGCUCCCCAAAUAGUUUUAUUUUGAGAUUACAGGUCGAGUUAGUUAAGAACUCCCUGUUGGAUGGUCCAUGUUAUGACGGG